rnacentral:rRNA from 1 species
UACACUCCUACGGGAGGCAGCAGUGGGGAAUAUUGGACAAUGGGCGCAAGCCUGAUCCAGCCAUGCCGCGUGAGUGAUGAAGGCCCUAGGGUUGUAAAGCUCUUUCACCGGUGAAGAUAAUGACGGUAACCGGAGAAGAAGCCCCGGCUAACUUCGUGCCAGCAGCCGCGGUAAUACGAAGGGGGCUAGCGUUGUUCGGAUUUACUGGGCGUAAAGCGCACGUAGGCGGACUAUUAAGUCAGGGGUGAAAUCCCGGGGCUCAACCCCGGAACUGCCUUUGAUACUGGUAGUCUUGAGUUCGAGAGAGGUGAGUGGAAUUCCGAGUGUAGAGGUGAAAUUCGUAGAUAUUCGGAGGAACACCAGUGGCGAAGGCGGCUCACUGGCUCGAUACUGACGCUGAGGUGCGAAAGCGUGGGGAGCAAACAGGAUUAGAAACCCUAGUAGUCCCA